rnacentral:rRNA from 1 species
UACGUAGGUGGCAAGCGUUGUCCGGAUUUACUGGGUGUAAAGGGCGUGCAGCCGGGAAGGCAAGUCAGAUGUGAAAUCCGUGGGCUUAACCCACGAACUGCAUUUGAAACUGCUUUUCUUGAGUAUCGGAGAGGUAAUCGGAAUUCCUAGUGUAGCGGUGAAAUGCGUAGAUAUUAGGAAGAACACCAGUGGCGAAGGCGGAUUACUGGACGACAACUGACGGUGAGGCGCGAAAGCGUGGGGAGCAAACAGG